UUCAACUUGUUGUCCACAAACUCUCUGGUACCUUUUGUCGCUUGUGACUGCGCUCGAAAAUCUCAGAGAAUGUUACCGAUCUUUGCAACAUCUCGGACUGAAAUCACAAUAAGAAAAAAAAUGCAUCAUCACCAAUAUGCAAGUUUGUGCAAUCUUCAACAACAUAAUGACUACAUGUUUUAAAAUCGUAAAACAAUGACAACUCAUAAUGCACUCAAAAGAAAAACAAACGCAUCAUCAAAAUAUAUGCAUGGCUUCACUUUGCAAGCGUCGACAACACAACAACAACAACAACAACAAAAUGCUCACAUUAUUGACUUUACAAGUUAAGAGCACGUACCAUUUUCUUCUGAUGUAAAGCAAAAGGUAAAAAACCCUCUAUGUGUUUUGCUAUGCUACCGUCCUUCUUUGUCUGACGAUUUUGCUAGGCCUUCGCAGAUCGACACUGUCAUGACCCGGAACCAUCCUUGAGUCCGUGACAACCAUCGCGAUGUCCCGAUAGGCACUUAUCCCCCGAAUACCAUAUGAGACCUCGCA
rnacentral:lncRNA from 1 species